rnacentral:rRNA from 1 species
UACGAAGGGGGGCUAGCGUUGCUCGGAAUUACUGGGCGUAAAGCGCGUGUAGGCGGCCCUGCAAGUCGGGUGUGAAAUCCCAUGGCUCAACCAUGGAAGUGCACUCGAAACUGCAGGGCUAGAGUCCUGGAGAGGAAGGUGGAAUGCUUGGUGUAGAGGUGAAAUUCGUAGAUAUCAAGCGGAACACCGGUGGCGAAGGCGGCCUUCUGGACAGUGACUGA